rnacentral:rRNA from 1 species
AUUGAACGCUGGCGGCAGGCUUAACACAUGCAAGUCGAACGAGAGGCGGACGGGUGAGUAAUGCUUGGGAAUCUCGCUUAUGGAGGGGGAUAACUACGGGAACCUGUAGCUACUACCGCUUACCAUAGGAUGCGCCCAAGUGGGAUUAGGUAGUUGGGGUGGUAAAGGCUCACCAAGCCGACGAUGUCUAGCUGGUCUGCGAGGGUGACCAGCCACACUGGGACUGAGACACGGCCCAGACUCCGACGGGAGGCAGCAGUGGGGAAUAUUGCGCAAUGGGGGCAACCUGACGCAGCCAUGCCGCGUGAAUGAAGAAGGCCUUCGGGUUGUAAAGUUCUUUCGGUAGCGAGGCGUUAACUACAGAAGAAGCACCGGCUAACUCCGUGCCAGCAGCCGCGGUAAUUC